rnacentral:rRNA from 1 species
GCACAUUUUUUAUCAAAUUCAAAAUAAAUUAUUAUUUUAAUAUUACUUUCAAAUCCUUUUUACGAAAAAAAUUUUUUUUCUUUUCCUUAAAUUUUAUUUAAAGUAACCCAUUAUAUCUUUUAUGUGGUCUACACCUUUACCUAACUUUUUAGUUGUCUUUUUGGAAAAAAAAAUUAUAAAGAUAAAUUCUUAAGAUGGAGGUAUAUAAAAUGUAAAUAAAAGUGAAAGUUAACGUGGAAUAUCGAUUAUUUAACAGGUU